rnacentral:rRNA from 1 species
AGUGGCGAACGGGUGAGUAACACGUGAGGAACCUGCCCCGAAGACCGGGACAACACCGGGAAACCGGUGCUAAUACCGGAUACCUUCACCGGAUCGCAUGGUCUGGUGAAGAAAUGGAUUCCGCUUCGGGAUGGCCUCGCGGCCUAUCAGCUUGUUGGUGAGGUAACGGCUCACCAAGGCAACGACGGGUAGCUGGUCUGAGAGGAUGUCCAGCCACACUGGGACUGAGACACGGCCCAGACUCCUACGGGAGGCAGCAGUUAGGAAUCUUGCGCAAUGGACGAAAGUCUGACGCAGCGACGCCGCGUGCGGGAUGAAGGCCCUCGGGUUGUAAACCGCUUUCAGCAGGGACGAAAUUGACGGUACCUGCAGAAGAAGCCCCGGCCAACUACGUGCCAGCAGCCGCGGUAAUACGUAGGGGGCAAGCGUUGUCCGGAUUUAUUGGGCGUAAAGAGCUCGUAGGUGGUUCGGUAAGUCGGAUGUGAAAUCUCCAGGCUCAACCUGGAGGGGUCAUUCGAUACUGCCGUGACUAGAGUUCGGUAGGGGAGUGUGGAAUUCCUGGUGGAGCGGUGAAAUGCGCAGAUAUCAGGAGGAACACCCGUAGCGAAGGCGGCACUCUGGGCCGAUACUGACACUGAGGAGCGAAAGCGUGGGGAGCGAACAGGAUUAGAUACCCUGGUAGUCCACGCCGUAAACGUUGGGCACUAGGUGUGGGACUCUAUCGACGGGUUCCGUGCCGUAGCUAACGCAUUAAGUGCCCCGCCUGGGGAGUACGGCCGCAAGGCUAAA